AGAUACGUCAUAGCGCAUACGUUGACGCGAGACUAUAUAGAGCACAAAAACUAGAUAAGAGCUCAAAUUUAGGGAACUUGGUUGUUUGAUGUGUUUGACAGUAAAGCACAGCAAAACGUACCAACUAGAACACUUAAAAACAAAUGGAGAAACUUUCAAAUGCUUUGAAGUACCGUUGCUGGAUUACUGUUGAGGUUAUGUUUGACCUUGGUAUGACUGUCAGAUUUAAAGUUGAAAUUUGCAUUAAAAAGGCCAUAAAAGCCUCGAAGUGCCUUUUAGGGUAGUCAUCGUCCUGUUCCAAUUGCAUGCCCCCUCUCUGCCACAUCAGUAAAAUUUGCCACAAAAGUUUUAAAAAACGACUUUAAACAACAACAACGGCCCUAUUUUCAUUAACAAUGAGACAUAUCUCGCUGCAUGCGGCACGACAUAGGCCUCAUAGAUCAAUCUCAUUGUGAAUGGUUUUCGCUGAGAUCACUUUGAGAGGGCUUCACUGAGACUGACGUUGGCGGAAGGCUGAAACCUGCCUCGCGACAAGUCUUUGCACCAACAUUCGAAAACGCUGUCAAUGGCUUAAAAUGAUAAACUGUGUCAGUUUUUUUGUGUCUUUUAGGAUUAGUCUUUGAGUCCUGUCGCGCCGCAUGUAGCGAAGCAGAUCUCAUUGUGAAUGGGUUCUUUAAGAAACAGUUUCAAUGUACACCACAAGACAUACACUGAGACGGCCUCAUGCCUCAUAUCAUGGCUUGUAAUUGACAGCGUUUUAUAGAAUGAUUUGGAAUCAUAGUGCAGAGAUUGUUGCGAGGCAGGCAGGCAGGUCUCAAGCCUACUGCAGAAGUCGCUCUUAGUGAGUCCAUGUCUUAGAGAUGCAAGACCAAUUUAGACCAUUUACAGUGAGCUUGAUGCCCGAGACCUAUGUCAUGCAGGAAGCCAAACUUCAUCGUGAAUGGACCCUUUUCAAUGGGGCUGUGCUUUUUGAAUAAAUUUGAAAUGGCCUUUUUGAAAAAAGCAGUUGUCUCUCUUUUAUUCAUCUAUUCAACACAUUUGUAUUCGAUGCACUUACACCAAUUUCAUUAUCAGUGUCUUGAUUAUCAGACAAGGGCAAAGUGGAAUUGGGGGCAACCCAGAAAUAAAAACACUUUAAUUUCCUUUAUUAGUAGGCUAUAUUUUUUAUACAAGACGACUACUCUCAGAUAGAGACGUACAAAAAUGUACACAAGAGUAAAAGUUGGUUUUUCGCAAUAUUUCACACUAUUCUUCCACACGUCCACAGUAAAAUCAGAAAGCGCUUCUUGUUAUAAAGCCCUUAUUAUAUUUUUCGACGAUGGCUGAGACUUUGUGACGUAUUUGUUAAACGUAAGUUUUCAAAUACAUGCCAUGCCAGUGCAAAGGAGUUAUAUUAACAAUUUUACGGGAUUAUUUUUAACUUUACACCCAUUCUGCUUAAAACAAGAGUGGCUGCCAGGAAAUAACAACGAAAAAAGUGGACCCAAAAGGUUUCAGCUGCAAAUUAUAAACACUAUCUGUGAUUUUUUAAAUAAAUUUUUUAAUAAUUAAUAAAAAACAUGACAAAAUUAAGCUUUUCGAUUUCGUUUAGUUUGAAUUUUAUAUGAAAAUAGAAAAGUUAACCAAGUAUCUGUAAAACUCGUGAACUUACUUUGAAGUAAACAGUGGGCUCCAUCUAUAACUCAUAAUUACUUGAACCGCAAUUCCCAUCAUCAAAAUGUGCAAAACUGCGAUAAGUGAGGUUAUGCAGUUAUGCACUUUGUUUUCCAGUUUUUCACACAAAAUAUAUCACAAAUUGCACAAGUCGUAUAACCAGCGAUAGUCAGUACUGUCAGUACGUCACAGCAGCUUUCUCCAGCACAAUCAUUGACUGCAAUUCUGUAUUGUGCCAUUCCCGUCUCAUCAUAUAAUCUGAGUAGUUGUUAUAUGACAAGUAAUGUUUCUACCUUCAAAAAUACUUGCGUAAAUAUGUUAUUAUCCCGUUAGUACACACUUUUAAAGCAGCCACUGGUUAUAUAGAUUAAAAUUAUAACAUUUCCUUUGUUAUUGUGUUAUUGUUUACAUCAGUCAGCUGUUUACUGUCAUUUUCUAAUGCUACCAAUUUAAAAAAUGUCCCUGUUAUUAAAGCUCAAGGACCACAGAAUGAGAGAGAGAACAAUUUUUUGUUCACAUAGACGCUGAAUACACGUAUAAAUGUCAGAAAAUUCAAAUUUUUUAUGUCCAAAUAGAAAUGUCCCGGACUGUAACUGAAUACUUGAACCAUAAUGUUUAAAAUAAAUAUUGAUAAAAUACAAAUGCAUAUUAAAAUAUUAAUUAACGAAAUUUUAUUAUUUAUUAAUCAAUUAUUAUUUAAUAAAUAAUUUAUUUUGAAUUAUAGGAAAUACUUGUAAAAAAAUUUCGCAUGCACAGAGAAAAAUAUUAAGUACAUAUCCGUACCUUAUAGAAACUGAUUUCUGAGUGAUUAUUAUGGUUUUGAAGAUACAGUAAUAAAACAAGUUCACUCCGUAUAUUUUUUAAAAGAAAUACAUAUUUCAGUUUACCUGUUUUAUUAAAAAAAAUAAAGAAAACAAGUAAACAGUCGAUAGUCAUUAAACAAAGUUUGAUGCUCGGAAAAAAAUGUUGUAGUAAUUUGUUCGGAUUAUAAAGAUUUCACCGUAAUACUACUUUCGUUUCAUUUCGAUGAAAAUUUUCAGUAUUUUUUUUAAUAAAAAUAAUUUUUGCAGCAAGCACAAUUACGCCAAAGUUUUAUUGUAAAAAUGAAGCUGAAUUUCAAUGCACAAACGAUGAUUUAAAAAGACAAUUAGAAUAUUUAGAUGUAAAAGGACCCAGAGAAAAAUACCACAACCCAGUCACAGAAAAUCAAAGGUAAACUGCAAUAUGGCUGGUAUCAAGUGCAGUUAACAGAUCUGGACAGGUCCGACAGACGACUCCACUUUGCCAAACAAACAAAUCCAAUUGUGAGAGAACACUUAAUGAAUUAUGAAAAUAUACGUUAAAUUACCUGUU